GGCAGGGCAGAGAGCGGUGGCUCCAAGCACAGCUCGGACAGGCUGGUCUCUGUUCCCUGCUUUGUCACCAAAUAGCAUGUGACUUUGGCCAAAUUUCUUAAAUUCUUGAAGCCAGCUUCCUCAGUGAUACAAUGGGAGCAGAAAUAGUGUUAGAACCUACCCCUUGGUCUGUGUGGGUCCGAGGCGUGGGCACGUGGUUGUGGGCGCUGUGAGAGAGUGAAUGAGGGGCACGGCGGCCCCGUCGCUGUGGGGACAGGGGCACCGAACCAGAGGCACAGCCGGGCAGCACUGCAGGGGUGGGGGGCCCGUGGUUCUUAGAAAACUUCGUCGGUUUCUUCCUCAGUUACUGUGCCAGCCAGCAUUUCCCCAGUUCCUCGUGGUUAUCUUUUAAUGUUCUCUUUAUGAGGAGUUUUGUCACUUUGUCCUUAUUCCUAGUUUUUCUCUUUUUUUUAAGAUUUUAUUUAUUUAUACUAGAGAGGAGAAAGGAAAGAGAA